UACGUAGGGUGCGAGCGUUGUUCGGAAUUAUUGGGCGUAAAGCGCGUGUAGGUGGUUAUGUACGUCGGGUGUGAAAUCCCUGGGCUCAACCGAGGAAGUGCAUCCGAAACUGCAUAACUGGAGGACGCUAGAGGAGGGUAGAAUUCCUAGUGUAGAGGUGAAAUUCGUAGAUAUUAGGAGGAAUACCGGUGGCGAAGGCGGCCCUCUGGGGCGUUCCUGACACUGAGACGCGAAAGCGUGGGGAGCAAACAGGAUUAGAAACCCCAGUAGU
rnacentral:rRNA from 1 species